rnacentral:rRNA from 1 species
AGCGUAGACGGCAAGGCAAGUCUGAUGUGAAAACCCAGGGCUUAACCCUGGGACUGCAUUGGAAACCGUCUGGCUCGAGUGCCGGAGAGGUAAGCGGAAUUCCUAGUGUAGCGGUGAAAUGCGUAGAUAUUAGGAAGAACACCAGUGGCGAAGGCGGCUUACUGGACGGUAACUGACGUUGAGGCUCGAAAGCGUGGGGAGGCAAAACA